GCCUGGGUGGCGGAAUUGGUAUACGCGACGGACUUAAAAUCCGUUGGUCUUACGACCUUGGGGGUUCGAGUCCCCCCCUAGGCACCA
rnacentral:tRNA from 1 species